UACGGAGGGAGCAAGCGUUACUCGGAAUUGUUGGGCGUAAAGGGCGCGUAGGCGAUCUGACAAGUCUGGUGUGAAAGCCCACAUGUUAACUGUGGAAGUGCAUUAGAAACUGUUGGAUUUGAGUUCAGGAGAGGAAGGCAGAAUUCCCGGUGUAGCGGUGAAAUGCGUAGAGAUCGGGAGGAAUACCAGUGGCGAAGGCGGCCUUCUGGACUGACACUGACGCUGAGGCGCGAAAGCCAGGGGAGCAAACGGG
rnacentral:rRNA from 1 species